rnacentral:tRNA from 1 species
UAUAGCUCAGUGGCACAGCACCUGCCUGGCAAGCACGAGGUCUUGAGUUCAAUUCCCGGUA